GGUGUCCACGUCUCCAAGAGGGCGUGGGUGAAAAGGGAACGGGGUGAGAAUCCCCGACAGACGGCGCUGCUGUGUGUCCCAAUUGAAGAGUUCCUGCCACAGUCACUGCGACACGACCUGAAGUGUCAUGGGAAGGCUGAGGCAAGUCACGGAACAGGGACGAGUCAGAAGACCUGCCAAAUCG
rnacentral:ncRNA from 1 species